UCCGGUGUGGUGUAGUCGGUUAUCAUUAUGGGACCCCACGCCCAGAGACCCAAGUUCGAUCCUUGGCGCCGGAC